CUCACCAAAGUUCUAGUGCCGUGGUAUAAUCACAGAUCACUGGAACCUUGAACUUCUGGGCUCAAGCGAUCCUCCUGCCUUAGCCUCCCAAAUAGCUGGGACUACAGG